UCAGUGAGGUUCUGGACAGAGAAGAGUGAGAAGCCUUGGGGACCAGAGAGAGAGGUGGAGGUUUAGAGUGAGCUUUUCAGAGAAAAGAGUCUUGGAUGACAAGCAAUAAGAAAGAUGAGAGAAGCUGAAGGGAGAGAAAGGAAGCUGGGAGUUUUGGCUAGUCUGGAGAAGCAAGAAAAAUAAUAAUGAAAAUAACAGAGAGAGUGAGUUGUUUUAGAUGAGGGGAUGCAUUCGGGGUGAGUUGGGUUAGAGUGAGAUUCUGUUAAGGAGAGAUGAGUCGAC
rnacentral:lncRNA from 1 species